rnacentral:lncRNA from 1 species
GCAGCUGAGCAGAGCCAGACACCAGACUAGACGGCCUUGCGAGACUUAGUGGCUGUGGGAUCGGGGAAAUAGCUUAGUCUUUUUCUGUCUCAAUUUCCUCGGCUAUAAAACUGAGAUGAUGAGAGUACCUAGCUCCUAGGACUGUGGGAGGGCUGCAGGAGUCCUGAGGUGUCCUCGGAGCAGCGCACACACACACUAGCUCAGCAUCACUGCUAACUCACGUUUUUACUCGCUGAGUGUUUCCAGAGCUCCGACCGCUUGUCCAGCAGCAUGCACGGGGCAGAGAAGUGGGAGUGCUGGCUCAUGUCUCUAAGCUUAACUUAAAGAUUACGAGACUAUUAAAACCUAGUCGUCAUAAACCAGUUAGCAUUAUGUGGCCCCCCUGUGGGCCGAUUUUAUUUCCUUUUCUCAGAGCCCUGCUGGGAGGUGUAAUCUCUGCGGAUGCAGUGGGAACAGUGACUUGCUUGAGGUGGCCGGCGAGGGUCUGGAGUACUGCGAGGUUGGGAUGAAGACGUACCCCUACAGCCAUCUCGAUUGUCGAUCUCUCCCCGCUGGACUCUCACCCCACGAGAACAGGGGCCCUGUCGGUCUGUCCUCUGUGGCCCCGAUGCCCAGUGCAGGGCCUGGCUAGUGGUGGGUGCCUGGAUAAACAAAGGCACGGAGAGAUGGAUGCUGCCCACAUUGGUCUUCUCCCAGCUGUCUGGUCUGGGGCCACCUUUGGGUCAGCUGUACCCACACCUGCCUGGUCUCCCGUUCUCAGACAGAAGCCCAAGAACAGCAGGAGGACCACUUAGAAGAGAGGAACUUGCUGACAGCCCCCGCCUGAUCAAGCAUCUCACAGGAGCAUGGGGAAGCCACAAUGAAGCUUUAGCCACAUGCCCCGCCUCCCC